AACAGCAGAAUACUGUAUUUUAAACCAACACGAAGAGGAAUGCAGGAAAGAAUUAGAGCGAUUUAAAAGAUCACAGAAAAAGGACCGAAGCGUCUGGUCUGCGUGAUGCAGUAAAAAAAGGGAGCCACUUUCUUUUGGCAGCACAUGACGAGCUUUUGGUCUUCCGGAGCUGCCGGGCCGAGUGGCCAGAGCCUCAGCUCUCUCUGGGAAUGUCACACCUACGAUGACCAUUACCAGCAGAGCAAAGCCCAUCACACCCUGGUGUGCCAUUUCUGACCCAGAAAGCCCCGCGGCCACGAACGCAUGCUCUCCCCCAGGGCAAACACGGGGCACCCUGGCCAGUGUAGACAUAGCAGCUUGGCGAUGUGUACUCGCCCGGCCAUGUGGACCGGGAGUGAUGAUGUUCCCAGGGAAACCAGUUGGGGGGGAUUUGGGGCCGGGAGGAGUUGAGGUGCGAUCGAGGGGGUUAGAGGUGAAAGAGGAAGAGUUGAAGAAGGCGGAUUUAGUUUUUAGUGGGAAAACUAUUUUACUGUUUCCUAUAACUCUUUUUCCCAAAUUAAAAACGUGUGUACCUUA